ACGGGGGGUGCAAGCGUUGUUCGGAAUUAUUGGGCGUAAAGAGCGUGUAGGCGGAUGAAUAAGUCAGAUGUGAAAUCCCCGGGCUUAACUCAGGAAGUGCAUUUGAAACUAUCCGGCUUGAGUAGAGGAGAGGAAAGUGGAAUUCCUGGUGUAGAGGUGAAAUUCGUAGAUAUCAGGAGGAACACCGAUGGCGAAGGCGGCUUACUGGACUUUUACUGACGCUGAUACGCGAGAGCGUGGGUAGCAAACAG
rnacentral:rRNA from 1 species